GAUCCUGGCUCAAGAUGAACGCUAGCUACAGGCUUAACACAUGCAAGUCGAGGGGAAACGACAUCGAAAGCUUGCUUUUGAUGGGCGUCGACCGGCGCACGGGUGAGUAACGCGUAUCCAACCUGCCCACCACUUGGGGAUAACCUUGCGAAAGUAAGACUAAUACCCAAUGAUAUCUCUAGAAGACAUCUGAAAGAGAUUAAAGAUUCAUCGGUGAUGGAUGGGGAUGCGG
rnacentral:rRNA from 1 species